rnacentral:rRNA from 1 species
CACGUAGGCACCAAGCGUUGUCCGGAUUUAUUGGGCGUAAAGAGCUCGUAGGCGGUUUGUCGCGUCUGCCGUGAAAGUCCGGGGCUCAACUCCGGAUCUGCGGUGGGUACGGGCAGACUAGGGUGAUGUAGGGGGGACUGGAAUUCCUGGUGUAGCGGUGAAAUGCGCAGAUAUCAGGAGGAACACCGAUGGCGAAGGCAGGUCUCUGGGCAUUAACUGACGCUGAGGAGCGAAAGCAUGGGGAGCGAACAGG